rnacentral:piRNA from 1 species
UUCUCGAACCUUGUAGCCAAAGCAGUAAC